UUUAUACAUGAGAGUUUGAUCCUGGCUCAGGAUGAACGCUGGCGGCGUGCUUAACACAUGCAAGUCGAACGGGGGUCAUUUGACGGAAGUCUUCGGACGGAAGUGAUUUGACUCGAGUGGCGGACGGGUGAGUAACACGUGAGUAACCUGCCUUUUGCUGGGGAAUAACUGUGGGAAACCAUGGCUAAUACCGCAUGUUGUAUCCACAAGGCAUCUUGUGGGUAUGAAAGGAGCAAUCCGGCAGAAGAUGGGCUCGCGUCCGAUUAGGUAGUUGGUGGGGUAAAGGCCUACCAAGCCUGCGAUCGGUAGCCGGACUGAGAGGUCGAACGGCCACAUUGGGACUGAGACACGGCCCAGACUCCUACGGGAGGCAGCAGUGGGGAAUUUUGGGCAAUGGGGGCAACCCUGACCCAGCGACGCCGCGUGAAGGACGAAGGCCUUCGGGUUGUAAACUUCUUUGGGGAGGGACGAAGAUGACGGUACCUCCAGAACAAGCCACGGCUAACUACGUGCCAGCAGCCGCGGUAAUACGUAGGUGGCAAGCGUUAUCCGGAUUUACUGGGUGUAAAGGGCGCGCAGGCGGUCUUGCAAGUCAGAUGUGAAAGAUCAAGGCUUAACUUUGACAGGUCAUCUGAAACUGCGGGACUUGAGUAUCAGAGGGGAAAGUGGAAUUCCUGGUGGAGCGGUAAAAUGCGCAGAGAUCAGGAGGAACACCGGUGGCGAAGGCGACUUUCUGGCUGACAACUGACGCUGAGGCGCGAAAGCGUG
rnacentral:rRNA from 1 species